AACUUAAUGCAUUUACUGAUGGUAGAUUACAGCCGGUACCUAAUCUGCUCUCACAGGGUGACUUGUGAUGAGUAGAAGAAGCCUUCCUCACGUCUCUACUUUCUUUUGGUCAUUGGCGC
rnacentral:lncRNA from 1 species